AUCUGAAAGUCAUUAUCAGUGAACACAAGAAUGUAAAUACAGUGCACUCGGUCAGUCCUUCACAAAAAAUCACACUUGCCUGGCAAUGCACAGCUUUGGAAGGGGAGGCGCUGCUGUACUGGAGUGUGGUGUUUUUCUUUCUUUCUUUCUUUCUCUGUCUCUCUCUCUCUCUUUUUUUUUUUUGUUUUUGUUUUCACUGCAUUCCUUUACUGGAAAGGGUGGAAAUGCUGCCAGGCCCAGCUGCCGGCUCCUGGGAAGGCUCCGGAGGCUUUUCACCUUCAAAGCCCUUGUGGGAUGGCUUGGCUGUGGCACUGAGCCGGCCAGGCCUUUCCCCAGGUGAGGAAAAAGGAACUGGGGUGGUUACAGUACGAGCUUGGAAAAGGCCGUGGGACUCCCUACUUGCUCCACAAAGUCCUCCCACUAAGCAGCAGCAUCCUUUCUGAUUCCUUCUCCCGGGGUGCCCUCCGCAGGGGGCCCGCAGUUCCCCUUUAAUAGGCAGGACCAGCAGCUGGGCCUGGCGGACGUUACACAAUCUGCCUUGGGUUUGACACAUUCAGCAUUAAAACCCGAAAGGAGGAAAAAUACACUCAUGGGUCCCAUCAGCAAAAAACAGGACAGCCAGCUCAUGCAAAGGUUAAGUGCAAGUUCGCCCGUCCAUCUUUGUGGUUUGCUGCCCAUCCUUCCCAAAUCCUACAACCUCCUGGCCUUGACUAUCGGUGCUCAGCACUCUGGAGUGGUGCACGUCGCUGACUGCAGCCGUACUGCCUGGGCGCCCUUUGACAGACGGGUCCGUUUUCCACACAAAUCGAGGGAGGCAGUGGUGGUGCUGAACACCUGUUGUAAUUUCCAUCUGGAAUAGGUUCUUGUCUCUACAGUUCUGCCUUGUUGUGUUUGCUGAAACUGUGUUUCUUUCCCGAGGGCCCAGAAUGGCUGGUCACAGGGGCCUGGGGAGAGGCUGAGGCUGGGAGCCCUGGCCCUGUCCUGUCUGUGCUGUGAACAUGCCUGACCUUGACUUGUGUUGCCCGCUUUCUCUCAUCCUUCCUUCCCUCUAGGUCUGUGCUGUCCAAUAGGGGAGCCAGCAGCCACCUGUGGCCAGUGAGCGCUUGAAAUCCAGCUCGUAAACGGAGGGGCUCCAUUUUCCAUUUAUUUCAGAUGUAACGAAAUCUAAAUACAGAUCCAUGUACUUCUGACAAAAAUUUAGUGCCUGAAUAGAGAUGUGCUAUAAGGAUAAAAUACAUACUGGAUUUCAAACACUUAGCAUGAAAAAAAGAAGGGCACGAGUGCUGUCCCUGAUACUGCGGUCCUGGAGCCCUGGCACGAAGCACACACAGCAGGCUGACCCCUGAACCAGGAGUCCUGGGGAUGGAGGUCACCAGAGGAAACGGAGACCUGGCGCUUGUCCUCAAGAGGCCUAUAAUCUAGUGGAGGAUCUGCUCUUAAAUUCAGGAAAUGUUUUAAACUCUCUCCAAAGGUGUGUAAAGCUCGGUGGCAGAGAUGGUGUGACUUUUCAGCGGGAACAUUUAUGCGGCCCUGAUAUGUUUACCUGGAUUCUAUUUCCCAAUCCUGAAACCCAGCUGCCCAUCAGACAGGCCUCAGAUGCACGUGGCAAUUCUUUGGAAACCAAGUUUCGGAGGGGAAUGUGAAUCCACCUCCGGGCUUCUCUAUGCGUUUUGUAGGCUCUCUUGGCAACGGUACCCGCUUCAGAACAAGUUCUUGAGAUUUAGGGGCAAACUGGCCAAAGGAGGGACACAUAUAUUUCUUAUUUGCUGGGUCAAGUAUCACAGUUUCCUAGGUCCUUGGAAUCCUGGUAGUUGCACUUCAGAAUCCCAAACUCAAAUACUAUCUACUGGUAUAUAAACUCAAAUACUAUGGCCUGGUUGUUCAUCUAUCUGAAGACUGAAGCCCCAAAAUCUUAAGAGAAUUCCCCCUUCCCAUCGAGGAGGAAAACAUUUUUUGUGAAAGUUAAACCCACACGGGUUCCCCAGGGCAACAGAACCAAGAAGUGACACUGGGGGAGUGGUGUGUCCUGAGCCCCUGCCAUCCACCGUCCACCACGGGGCUGGGCUGAGGGGCAUUGGCAAGGGGCAGGAGGGGAAGCGAGCGCCCAGCUGGCCAGAGUGAGGAUACACGGCGGCGUAAGGGACAUGGCCCAGAACACCAGGGCCGGAACCGAGCAAGAGAGGAACUGAGACAGAUGUUACUCUGGAAGCCUGCGCUGUCAAAUUCCUCAAAGCACAGAAAUGCCAUCAAUACCGUGUGUUCCUCUAGAAUAAAACUCAUGCACACGAGGUGCCUGCAUUGGCUUUCCCUGUCCAUCAGGCACGGCCUUUCCCCAGCAAGAUGCCACAGAAGGGCAGGACCCAUGACAGAGGUUCACCUUAAGACUUGGACAUUUUGGGGAGCUCAAACUCAUCGACGGGAGAUGCUGGGGAGAAUUCGUGGGCUACUCAGGCAAACUCGGCACCUGCCUCUGAGAGCGGGUUGGACGUUUGACUUAGAAAAAGACUCUCAGAAGGUGUGACUCAGGGCCUCAUGGAGUUCUACCAUGGAGAUGAGGGUUGCUUUUUGAUGCAACGAUGUAUCGUCUGCCAUUGGCUCUGCUCCAUGCUUUCACAUCAAGAGAAACCGGGCAGGGGCACCCACUUACUUAGUCC